ACCUGCCAGCUGGGACCCAUACAGGCUAAGCAGGGCUUUUCACCUCAGGUGUUAUGAGAGAAAGACAUCCAUGUUUCCAGGCUGGAGCUGACUCAGCUUGGACCAGCCCAGAGCAGUGGCAGGUGGGCCACACAGCCCAAGUACCUGUGCCCAGCCCCGGAGAAGGGCUGCUGCCUGCCCCAGUCUGGCUGAGCCAGCUCCCACCGGCCAGCACGGACCCAAGGGGAGGAGCGAGGGCUUGCCGGUAACCAGGCUCAGCUCCCCGGUGCGGGUCGGCCACGUCCCCACAGGAGCCAUGGCACUGGCCCAGGCAGGAGGCAAAGGGCUGAGCUGUGCAGCCCAAGGGAGUUCUGCAGGAUCAGCCCCGCGUCUGCUCCCGUCUCAGCCUGCCUGCAUCCACAGGGCGAUGCUGAGGGCACAGCAGCAGCAGCAGCAGCACACCUAGCGAUGCCCUGGCAGGUUUGAAGCCCAGCUCGUUGCUAAACAAAGGUUGAUUCGUCCCGGUGAUCUCUGGUGAUGGUGAUCUCUGGUGAUGGCUGCUCGCCCGCUUUGUGCCUACCUUCCUCCCCCAGGUGCUGGGGUGCAGUCCGGCCUUAUCAGAGCACCCGCUGCUUUUGCAAUGGCCAAUUGUUGGAGUCGUUAUCGCUUCAGCGCUGCAGGCUCCAGCAAAUGCCAGGGGGCAAUUUGUAAGGAACAAGUGCUUUGGAGUACAUCGCUGGUGAUUCACACCUACUUCCCGGGCUAAUUAAGAGUUUAAAGCAAAUAUUCCUGACGGAAAAAAUAUCCCAACAAAUCAAAACUUCCCGAAGAGCGCUGCAAUUCUGGUCGUACUUGAUCGUUUUGUCUAUGCAUCAAACACAAAGUUAAACUAAACAGGUCAAACACUUCUGGGGCUCAGCCACGUAGGGUGACCAUCAGGUCACAAGAUCCUAUGCGAAUAAGAUAAACUUCGGUGCAACAUUUAACUAGCAAGCAGUAUUCUCACCUUUGAGUAUCACUGCUGUGAACAGCAACCAGAGAGAGACGUAAAAGGAGAAGAGGCUCCUCAUCUUCAUUUCUGGACCUUAAAUAAAACUGUUCACCCAAGGGCACAGAAGUGUUUACCACCAUCCAAAACUACCCAAAGAAGUAAAUCAAAUUGUACAUCAGUGCUGAUGCACUGAUGCGGUUCCAGAAGCAGCUCGUUGGUCCCUGUCGGAGUCGUGCAGCGAUCAUGGGCUCUGUCCCUGCCACCGCCUGGGCUCGGCUGAACCCUCCCUCCCUGGGUAACCUGAGCGCUGCCUGCUCUCAAGCUAGGGCUGAGACAGAAAACAACAGAUUGGGUAUCAGUGCAAAAAUUGAAUUCCAUUGCAAUUUUGCUACAAAUGCAAGAUUUCGUCCCAUUUACGACAAGUCCUUCUACAGUUCUUUGGAGGGCUUUGUUUGACUGCACUUGUAUUCUGCAAUAGCUCGCUCAGAACCAGUUCUAUGGAAUUUGUGGACCUUCACAAGAAAGUGGUCUGAUUAAUAGGAAUAUUAGCACUGUACAUCACACAACCAAUGUCACACAGGAAAAAAACCAAUACUCAUGGCCACUUCCAUGCUGAUAAAACAAGGUUUUCAUUACCAAUGUGUUGCCACAUGGAAGAGAUGCAGAAAACACAUUUAAUAUUUGCAGUAAUCCAAUAUCACUGUGCAAACAAGAACUUCAGCAGGUGUAAACACCUUAGAGACCAGUACUCCACACAGUAAAUCAGGAGCAAAACUGGACUUUGCAGGUAAAAUACAAUUUCCCUUAUACAGUACAAUUUUUCACAGGUGAACUUGUCCAAAAAAAAAAAUUACAGUUACUGGAACACACUUAAAUUUAGCCAAAAGAGUUUCAGGAGAAAAACAUGAACAUGACACAACACCCUACCUUGCCUUCCAUCUCACCCUGAUAGUCAGAACUUCAACAUCUCUGUCUAUAUUAUUCAUGUUGUCAGGUUGGCUUCCUGGUACCGCAGAUAUUUUCUUCCAAGUUUCUCAGACAAGAGGAGAUUACUUCCUCCUCUCCAGAGUCCAAUCCAUCAUUCAUGAUAUACUGCAGUCCAUUCUGCCAUCCUUUUAGAACAGAUAACAGAAAACAGUCACUAAAAGAGAAAGUGAAAAUAUAGAAUGAUCUCCCAGGAAAAAAUUUGGUCCAGAAUAGUCCUGAUCCACAGAGGUCAUAAAAUAUUGUUGUUUUACUCUUGCACAGUCUUUUGGCCAGAAGAAAAGUUAUCCCUCCAUACACAUAAUUUCUACACAGCAGCACUACAAGCAGUCACUGGCUAAUGUUUGUGCUUUUGUGGGAUUUAUAAAUCAUUUACCUUUAUGGCCAGGUUUCCUAGGUAAGCAAUAAAUAAUUUUGGUCAAAGAUCCUGUAAUGAAAUCCAUCUCUGUCAUUUCAUUUGAAGAAUUGUCAAAGGAGUUAAAAAGUAGAAAACUGUUUAGAAGUCAAAAGGGUCAGAACAGCCCCUAGGCAGUAUGUAAUAACUUGCAUUCUCUGUGGGAUGAAGGUAUGUGAUGCUAGAGACAACAAAUGUCGUGGACAGAAGAUGAAAGAUUUUUGGAUACAGUCAGAGAAGUGCAUUCUCAGGGGAUAAUUUUAGUCUACAAUAAAUUGCCAGUCUGUCAGCAAGGAGCUACUGCAUAACAUCUCUUGCUCUAAUCACGAGGGUGAUGAGGGGUACUGCUUUAAGAGAGUUGCUAUAAACACUACUGGAACCAGGACUAGCCUUGCUCUGCCACAGGCUUGAGACAGCCGUGUCCCCUGUUUCAUCAGCAAUACACACAUGUCAAGCAGCCUGGACCAAUGUACUUUAAUUAAACAUACAGUCAGGUAAACAUGAGCACACAUAUCUAUUAGACAUGUUUGUCAUGUUUGACAUGCUGCAUUGAUUGCACAGUCCUUGCAAAAGUAAACUAAAACACCUAAAAAAGCCUUUUCAAUACUGAAGACACAAGAAAUUUAACAAUGUUAGUACAACAGACCAUUUGGCUUCUUUAUGUUUGUUCACGAAAUAUCUGAUUUGUAUUUUUAAUCAAAAUAUCCCUAGUGUAUAUAUUUUGUAUGAAUGCCGAGCAUUAACAUCAAUUUCUCGCUGAUCUGAGAGAUUCUUCUACAAACCCACACUUCCUCAGAACAUAGCUUUCAAGUUUUGGCAUGAUCUAAGGCAAUACUAGCCCCAGAUCAAACAUCCCAUUCAACUUUUGAAUGGAGCUAAUUUACAGUUAGAGAGUUGUCUUUCUUCUCAGUAAAAAGUUCUGCUACCAAAUCAGAAAUUAAUACAAGAUACGAAGCCGCUUACAAAGAUAAUUUCAGAGCAGUGUCGGGUGUUGGGGAGUUAGAAUGAAGCCAUUAACCACUCCCAGAAGGAGAGCCGUUCCCAGCAGACUCCCGGGAUGCUGUCGGAGUCCCUGUGCCAGCAGGUGGCCCUGUCACCCAGCCUACCGAUGGGAGCCACGAGGCGGCUCAUCGCCCAAAAAUCACAUCGCAUUUCAGCCUGCUUCCGUCAGCUCCGCGGAUCUUUUGCCUUACGUUUGACGUAAGUCACGGUGAGCCAAGAUGUUCUUUUAAAGAGAAAGAUGAGCAGAAGGAACCCAAACCGUUUGGUGGCUGAAUCCGGGCUCUUUCCGGACAUCCUUCUCGGCAGGACCAGCAGGGCUGAGCCCAGCCUCGGGGGGCUCCAAGGAGCGAGCUCAAGCCGUGCCACCCCGGGGAGCCGGUGCAAGGGCUCGGCUGGAGCACACGCUGCUUCUGCCCGUGCGGAGAGCGGCUGAGGCCCAGGGCACAGCAUCCAACCCCGCUCCCACAUACUUCGUUCGAACGUUUGACUUCGUGGGAUUGAGUCUGGGCUAUUAACAGAGCUGCUAACACUCAGUGGGACGAGAGUGGACCGUUCGUUGGUGCACUCAGCUUGUACACCACUCACAUGGCAUCUGUAACUUUUUGUACUUCUAGACACACGGAUACUAUUAUGUAGACAUCAUCAAAAGUUUAAAUAGGUCAGACUGAAGUGGAGAUUACAUAAGAGAGACCUCUUUCAUAUUAAAACUUCCAAAGCUAGAUAUUUAUCUUAACCAAACUAUAAGCAAUGUAGGUAAGAAGUGUAAAAACUAUUUAGAAUUUUGUUCUCUCAGUCCUUCUUCUCCUGCAUAAAGUAAUAAUUUGCUCUUGAGGCUAAGGUUUUUACAUGUACAUUUUCAGAUUUUUUAAAUGGAUUCUUACCCUUUUUUGCAUAAAAACCAUUAAGAGUUUUCAGCCUUCAACUGGAAAAGCUGCAGAUACUGUAUUAUCACAGGCCUCAAGGCCGUCUGUACCAUUUAUAAUCCAUCCCUUCAUCAGAGAACAAUAAAGAAGAACAGAUUGGUUUCUAA